rnacentral:rRNA from 1 species
AUGGAGCUCUCCCGCCUGCCGCUGGUCCUGCUGCUCUGCUUGCUGGCCAGCUCGUCGACGACGGCCCUGCCGGCGCUGCCCGGGAUGGACCAGGUGCGGCAGCAGGUCGACAGGGCAAACAGGCGCGGCCCGUCCAUUGGUCUCGUCAUGUCGUACGUCGCCGAGGACACCGCGCUCCAGGCCUCCGGCUACUUCAGGCCUUGGCGUGUCCAGCCUUUCGUUGACCUCUACGGACGGAGGUUUCACAUCGGGAGUAUUCGAGGUGUGAAUGUUAUAUACGCAUUGACAGGACAACGCAGGUUGAAUGCAGCUGUCACUGUACAAACUCUCCUCGAUGUCUUUACCGUGUCUGGUAUUGUCCAUUAUGGCACAGCAGGCAGCUCUAAUGAUUCAAUGUCAUUUGGAGAUGUCAGUGUCCCCAAGUUAGUUGCUUAUACAGGCGCUUGGACAUGGAAGAAGUACAAAUCACUUAAAGAAGAGUCAACAGAACUAAACUUUGGACAAUUUAACAUCCCGAAUGGAGGAGAGAACCUGCUAGGGUCUCUGAAAUACAGAAAUGAGGAGCUAUACUCAGUUGGCAAGCCCAUGGAAGAAGUUUUCUGGUUACCUGUAGAUUCAGCAUGGUUCAAAAUAGCAGAAGGACUUGAGGUCAACCUUGAAAGGUGUAAUGAUACUUUUUGUUUACCUAAAACGCCACAAGUGGUUCAUGGGCUAAAAGGAGCAUCAGCUGACAUGUUUCUAGACAAUGCAGAAUACCGGAAGUUCCUUUUCAGAGAAUUUGCAGUGUCAACAAUAGAUGAGGAAAGCGCAGCAGUGGUGAUGACAACAACAUCUCCUGGCGUACCUGUGAUUGUGUUCCGGGGAGUAUCGGAUCUGGCUGGAGGGGAACCAACAUGGUCAUCAACAAGCCUGAUGAACCUGGCAUCUAUUAAUGCACUCAAAGUGGCAGUGGAGUUCAUUGCUACAAUUGGCAGGCAGAUGUCAACACCAUCAGCACAAAGUUCAAAAAACUGA